ensembl:miRNA mir-8189 ncRNA
UCUCUUAUCCACUAGGCCACGAGUGCCAGCGCCCUCAAGGAGUCGGGUCCGCAUGGCCUAGUGGAUAAGAGGGA